rnacentral:rRNA from 1 species
UACGUAGGCAGCAAGCGUUGUUCGGAAUUACUGGGCGUAAAGAGUGUGUAGGCGGUGUUCUAAGUUUGUCGUGAAAUCUCCCGGCUUAACUGGGAGGGUGCGGCGAAAACUGGAAUGCUAGAGGAUGGGAGAGGUAAGCGGAAUUCCUGGUGUAGCGGUGAAAUGCGUAGAUAUCAGGAGGAACACCGGUGGCGAAGGCGGGUCUCUGGGCCAUAACUGACACUCAGGGACGAAAGCUAGGGGAGCGAAUGGG